GCUGAGGAGGCCGUGUGGAAGCAAUUUUCCACACCAGCUUAUUAAUCAACCAAAGACCAAGACAGACUUUUAAUUCAUUUGAAACGAUGGGCCUUACACAGUUUCUGUCUAAUUUCUCAAACUUUUUUUAUCUGAUUUAGCCUUCAGUUAAUCCAAAAUGCUGCAGCCAGAGUGCUGACAGGGACUGGAAAGCGAGAGGAUAUCUCUCUUAUUUUGGCUUCACUUCAUUGGCUUCCUUUUUUUUUUUUUUUUUUUCUUUUAUUGUUUAUUUUAUUUUCACUUACUGAAUACGGGACAGACUUGACUGGGGGAAAGAAGGGGAGAAAGAAAGAGGGAAAGAGAAACAGCUGAGAAGAGGGAUGGGGGAGAAGGGCAAAAGACAAAAACCAACAGAAUGGGCAGCCAAAACAAAAAAAAAAAAAAAUGCAUAUAUCAAUCACCUGGAUCACCUGCUGAGAAAGAAAAAAGAAAACGAGCAGAAGAGAACAAGAGUAAUAGAAUAAACAACAUCACAAUGAUAUAUGGGAAUAUGACAGUAAAUACUAAAUAUUAAACAUUAUUGUGCAGCACAUAAGUGUCAUGGUCUGGUUGGGCACCUGCAGGUCUCAGACAGCGGCUCCUCCUCCUUUAGGCGGAGUCCGGUUGCCCCUCCCUGGCUGACCACCUGUGAGCAAUCGUGCCAGCGGUAUAUCAGACCUGCGCUCUCAACCACUCAUCGCCUGAGUAUCUCCUAUUCCCAUCGAUAGCACCCGGAGUGGAGAUCUUGUUCCCCUCGCUCCCGUCCUCCUGGACCUGGGCCGCCAGCUGCUCACACAACGUGGCCUGCCGACCCACUGCUCACCUGCCUGCCUCCCCACGCCUCGACCGCUUCCGGGUUUUCCGCUCCACCUGUCCCCUCCAUCUGAAACCAAUGCCCCGGCCCCUACCUAGUCCUGUUUCUACCUCCCCGCUGUCCCCGCUGUCCAGCCGUCUCCUAGAGGUGUCUAGGUCGCCCUCAUUUUCACAGACUAAUCCUACGCGC
ensembl:lncRNA